ensembl:misc_RNA Metazoa_SRP Metazoan signal recognition particle RNA
GCCGGACGUGGUGGCUCACGCCUGUAAUCCCAGCACUUUGGGAGGCCGAGGCGGGUGGAUCACCUGAGGUCAGGAGUUCGAGACCAGCCUGGCCAACAUGGUGAAAACCCGUCUCUA